GCCUGGACGUAACACGGCACCACCCCGCCCGCCAAAUAACUACGAGUGAAAACUUAAAACUUAAAGGACUUGACGGUACUUCACACCCAACCUAGAGGAGCCUGUCUACUAACCGAUAAUCCACGAUUAACCCAACCACUUCUAGCCACCCAGCCUAUAUACCACCGUCGCCAGCCUACCUUGUAAAAGAAACAAAGUGAGCCAAACAGUACUACACUAACACGACAGGUCAAGGUGUAACUAAUGAAGCGGACUAAGAUGGGCUACAUUCUCUACCCCAGAUUACACGAACAAGGCUAUGAAACUAACCUUUAAAGGCGGAUUUAGCAGUAAGCUGAGAACAAAAUACUCAACUGAAACCAAUGCAAUGAAGUGCGU
rnacentral:rRNA from 2 species